rnacentral:rRNA from 1 species
GUCGAGCGGACUUGAUGGAGUGCUUGCACUCCUGAUGGUUAGCGGCGGACGGGUGAGUAACACGUAGGUAACCUGCCCAUAAGACUGGGAUAACCCACGGAAACGUGAGCUAAUACCAGAUAGGCAUUUUCCUCGCAUGAGGGAGAUGAGAAAGGCGGAGCAAUCUGCCACUUAUGGAUGGACCUGCGGCGCAUUAGCUAGUUGGUAAGGUAACGGCUUACCAAGGCGACGAUGCGUAGCCGACCUGAGAGGGUGAUCGGCCACACUGGGACUGAGACACGGCCCAGACUCCUACGGGAGGCAGCAUUAGGGAAUCUUCCGCAAUGGACGAAAGUCUGACGGAGCAACGCCGCGUGAGUGAUGAAGGUUUUCGGAUCGUAAAGCUCUGUUGCCAGGGAAGAACGCCUAGGAGAGUAACUGCUCUUAGGGUGACGGUACCUGAGAAGAAAGCCCCGGCUAACUACGUGCC